GUGCUCACUUCAGCAGCACAUAUACUAAAAUUGGAAAUGAUACAAAGAAGAUUAGCAUGGUUCCUGUGCAAGGAUGACAUGCAAAUUUGUGAAGCAUUCCAUAUUUUU